rnacentral:rRNA from 1 species
GCCUCAAAUCGGGUGAGACUACCCGCUGAACUUAAGCAUAUCAAUA